AAUUUCUCGGCCAGUUUCAUCAGCCGCAGGGCUUUGCGGUAGCCUUCGGGGUUGGGCAUUCCGAAAUUGCGGUGCUGCCGCUGCUUGGUAUUAC
rnacentral:tRNA from 1 species